AAGCUACUUCCUCCGAUCCAUAUUACUUGUCUUAGAUUUGUCUAGAUGCGGAGGUAUCUAACACUAAAACGUGUCCACAUACAUCCGUAUCUAGACAAAUCUAAGACAGGUAAUAUGGAUUGGAGGGAGUAGUAU
rfam:Hordeum vulgare subsp. vulgare, WGS project CAJW01000000 data, contig: morex_contig_137514